rnacentral:lncRNA from 1 species
CCUUGAGGUCAAAACACACAGGUGGUUGAUGGAUGGCAGUGAGUGCAACAUACUCAAUACACAGUUCCUUGUUGGCUCUACCACCCUGUGACUCUGCAGUUUCUAAUCAUAUAUCUUCACUAAUAAUUGUAGCAGAUCUAGUAGCAGAUAAGGGAUUGACAAUGAGGGAAUAUGUGUGGGACUAGGAACUGAAUCAGUCUACGAAGGGUGGGAAGCAGUACUUGUGCUGCUAAGAGCAACUGAUAUUACGUAUGCUGAGGAUUAAUGGACAUUUUGAAUGAAAUGUAAGAGAAGGCAAUGCAGCGGCAUGUGGGGAUUUCAGACAUAGAAAGACCUGAAGCUGUCUGGGGAAAUGGGAUUCAUUUGGUAUUUCUCCUGUAGUGGUGUCUGUGUAUGUGUUUUGGAGGACUGGGGGAAAACAGGUAGAGUCAUCUGUAGAUGGAUUCCCUUAAGAGAUUUGAGACUAUUUGCUGUACAGAAAACAUGUUUGCAGUUGGUGAAAGACUUUCUCUGGACAGCAGGGUACAGUAGCUGUGCCUUGUAUCUUUCCAAAUUCCUGCAGAAAUGGUGGAAGAUUUAA